rnacentral:rRNA from 1 species
AACGAACGUUGGCGGUCUGGAUUAGGCAUGCAAGUCGCGGGAAUGCCAGCAAUGGCGGAACCGGCGUAAGGGGCAGUAAGGCAUGGGUACCUACCUGGAGGUGGGGUAUAGCCUGUAGAGAUACAGGGUAAUCCCGCAUAAUGUCGCAAGACCAAAGCUCCGGCGCCCUCAGAGGGGCCCAUGUGAUAUUAGCUAGUUGGUGAGGUAACGGCUCACCAAGGCGAAGAUGUCUAGCGGGUGUGAGAGCACGACCCGCGCCACUGGCACUGAGACACUGGCCAGACACCUACGGGUGGCUGCAGUCGAGGAUCUUCGGCAAUGGGCGCAAGCCUGACCGAGCGAGACCGCGUGGGCGAUGAAGGCCUUCGGUGUAAAGCCUGUCGAGGGGAGAAAGGCAAACGUUGAUCUAUCCCUGGAGGAAGCACGGGCUAAGUUCGUG